UAGGGAAUCUUCCGCAAUGGACGCAAGUCUGACGGAGCAACGCCGCGUGAGUGAAGAAGGAUUUCGGUUCGUAAAACUCUGUUGUUAGAGAAGAACAGCGCAUAGAGUAACUGUUAUGCGUGUGACGGUAUCUAACCAGAAAGCCACGGCUAACUACGUGCCAGCAGCCGCGGUAAUACGUAGGUGGCAAGCGUUGUCCGGAUUUUUUGGGCGUAAAGCGAGCGCAGGCGGUCAAUUAAGUCUGAUGUGAAAGCCCCCGGCUCAACCGGGGAGGGUCAUUGGAAACUGGUUGACUUGGGUGAAGAAGAGGAGAGUGGAAUUCCAUGUGGAGCGGUGAAAUGCGUAGAUAUAUGGAGGAACACCAGUGGCGAAGGCGACUCUAUGGUCUGUAAAUGAAGAAGGGGUUCGAAAGCGUGGGUAGCAAACAGG
rnacentral:rRNA from 1 species